CCCAAAAAGUCGUGGCUUGGGUCUUGCCAGCUGACGUGAUUUCCCUAUUUGUGCAAACGAACGGGGUGUCAGAUCUAUGGCGUUUCCCUAAUAAUUCCAGUUACAACUCCUUUUGGCUGAAGGCCAUAUUGGAGGGUGAUUGUGGAGUCGUGGCUCAAUGGUAAUGUUUGUGCGCGCUCUGCAUGUUCACCGCUGUAUCUGUCUAAUGUGAAAUGCUUUUCGCAUUUUACCUGACCUCGGAUCAGACGUGAAUACCCGCUGAACUUAAGCAUAUCACUAAGCGGAGGAAAAGAAACUAACAAGGAUUCCCUCAGUAACGGCGAGUGAACAGGGAAAAGCCCAGCACCGAAGCCUGUGGCCAUUUGGUCAUUAGGCAAUGUGGUGUUUAGGUCGUUCCGCAGAGGUUCUGCUCCACCCUAAGUCCAUCAAUGAGUACGGUAGUAUGGACAUGGCCCAUUGAGGGU
rnacentral:rRNA from 1 species